GUCUCUGUGGCGCAACUGGUUAGCGCGUCUGACUGUUAAGUUUAGAGGAUCUUGUUGAAGAGAUCCACAAGUAACUGGCUUUUAAUCAGGAGGUUGACAGUUCAAUCCUGUCCAGGGACG
rnacentral:tRNA from 1 species